rnacentral:rRNA from 1 species
AAACCAACAGGGAUUGCCUCAGUAACGGCGAGUGAAGCGGCAAAAGCUCAAAUUUGAAAUCUAGCACCUUCGGUGUUCGAGUUGUAAUUUGAAGAUGGUAACCUUGGGUUUGGCUCUUGUCUAUGUUCCUUGGAACAGGACGUCAUAGAGGGUGAGAAUCCCGUCUGAUGAGAUGCCCAUUCCUAUGUAAGGUGCUAUCGAAGAGUCGAGUUGUUUGGGAAUGCAGCUCUAAGUGGGUGGUAAAUUCCAUCUAAAGCUAAAUAUUGGCGAGAGACCGAUAGCGAACAAGUACAGUGAUGGAAAGAUGAAAAGAACUUUGNAAAGAGAGUGAAAAAGUACGUGAAAUUGUUGAAAGGGAAGGGCAUUAGAUCAGACUUGGUGUUUUACGAUUAUCUUCUCUUCUUGAGUUGUGCACUCGUAUUUCACUGGGCCAGCAUCGAUUCGGAUGGCAAGAUAAUGGCAGUUGAAUGUGGCUUCACUUCGGUGGAGUGUUAUAGCUUCUGCUGAUAUUGCCUGUCUGGAUCGAGGGCUGCGUCUUUUGACUAGGAUGCUGGCGUAAUGAUCUAAUGCCGCCCGUCUUGAAACACGGACCAAGGAGUCUAACGUCUAUGCGAGUGUUUGGGUGUAAAACCCGUACGCGUAAUGAAAGUGAACGUAGGUGAGA